rnacentral:rRNA from 1 species
AUUGAACGCUGGCGGCAGGCCUAACACAUGCAAGUCGAACGAGUGGCGGACGGGUGAGUAAUGUCUGGGAAACUGCCUGAUGGAGGGGGAUAACUACUGGAAACGGUAGCUAAUACCGCAUACCAUCGGAUGUGCCCAGAUGGGAUUAGCUAGGAGGUGGGGUAACGGCUCACCUAGGCGACGAUCCCUAGCUGGUCUGAGAGGAUGACCAGCCACACUGGACCUGAGACCCGGUCCAGACUCCUACGGGAGGCAUCAGUGGGGAAUAGUGCACAAUGGGCGCCAGCCUGCUGCAGCCAUGCCGCGUGUAUGAAGAAGGCCUUCGGGUUGUAAAGUACUUUCAGCGGGGAGGCGUUACCCGCAGAAGCAGCACCGGCUAACUCCGUGCCUGCAGCUGCGGUAAGUC